rnacentral:lncRNA from 1 species
GAGACAAUGGUUACUUCUUUUCAUGGAUUCUAAAUUCUAUCUGCCAGUCACUUUUUGUGUGUGCAUUCAUUGAGGGUGUACAGAAUGGAAUUACAGAGGCAGAAAAAAAUGAGGUCUCUGCCAAAUUGAUAGUUUAAAAAACAUUUUAGUGGCCUACUUAACUGUAAUUUGUUUUAGUUUUAAACAAGAAAAACCUCAGCAUGUAAGCAAAGCAGACUGGACUUGAACAGAUAUGGAAUGCAAAGCACACAGGAGAGUCAUGGGGAUCCUGAACGGGGAUUAGAAGUUGGACAACUUUUUAUGCAAUGAACAACACUGCAUUGGAGACAGUGGAUUAAAUUAAACAGUAGUGCAUAUCACUUGGCUGAAGUGACAGGAAUAAAGAACAGAAUGCAUCCACUCCUCCAGUCUCAUUAAGCUGCCUCUUUCUCCUGAAAUUGGAUUGGGAUUCCAGGACACCUCUCAACCUACAGGAAACACUGGAUCUAAAGCUGAAACAGG